rnacentral:rRNA from 1 species
CAUUGACCUCAAAUCGGGUGAGACUACCCGCUGAACUUAAGCAUAUCAAUAAGCGGAGGAAAGGAAACUAACAAGGAUUCCCCUAGUAACUGCGAGUGAAGCGGGAAAAGCUCAAAUUUAAAAUCUGGUGGUCUUUGGCCAUCCGAGUUGUAAUUUAGAGAA